rnacentral:rRNA from 1 species
UACUUAGUGGCAGACGGGUGAGUAACAUGUGGGUAUCUACCCUUUGGCCUGGAAUAACACGAGGAAACUUGUGCUAAUACCGGAUAAGUCUUUACAGAGAAAGCUUUAUGCACCAUUGGAUGAGCCCGCACUUGAUUAGUUUGUUGGUAGGGUAAUGGCCUACCAAGACUAUGAUCAAUAGCUGAUUUGAGAGGAUGAUCAGCCACAUUGGGACUGAGACACGGCCCAAACUCCUACGGGAGGCAGCAGUGGGGAAUCUUGCACAAUGGAGGAAACUCUGAUGCAGCGAUGCCGCGUGAGUGAAGAAGGCCUUUGGGUUGUAAAGCUCUUUCGUCGGGGAAGAAAAUGACUGUACCCGAAUAAGAAGGUCCGGCUAACUUCGUGCCAGCAGCCGCGGUAAUACGAAGGGACCUAGCGUAGUUCGGAAUUACUGGGCUUAAAGAGUUCGUAGGUGGUUGAAAAAGUUGGUGGUGAAAUCCCAGAGCUUAACUCUGGAACUGCCAUCAAAACUUUUCAGCUAGAGUAUGAUA